rnacentral:lncRNA from 1 species
CGAUUGUGUAAGGGACGAAACCUCUUGAGACAAAGUCCCAAAAAGGGGUGUUCUUUUAUUGGCGAUGAACUUUACAAUUGGAAACGAAAAACAACGUGCCUCCAAGGGGCGCAAGCACACGAGUUACAGAAAGGAAAGUGUUUAAGUCUAAAAGCUAAAGAAAUGAAAAUUACAUAUUCUCUGUUCGAGAGUUUUGGAUUCGGUCCUUGCUUCUACGUCUUUUCUCCCUUUUAUACCUCAUAGAUGAUCUCUUUGUGAUUAACUACUCUGAAAACUGCUUGAUCGUCCUAUAACUACCCAUUUCCUUUGUAGUGGCCAUUUUGUCAUGAAACCGCCUUUUAACUGCUGCCAUUAUCUUUCAUCGUUCAACUGCCUUCGAUUGAAUUCCUUGAGUUGUGGAACGUGAUAAGGUUACUUUAACAAUUGCCUUGAUAACUGCAUUCCUUGAUAACUACGAUGCGUUAUGUUUGUUGACACCUUGGGCGACUUGAAGGUUUGGGCGAGAGUAGAAUAACAGCUCUGGGCGACCGUAUGACACCCAUUCAUUCAGAUUCUGAGCGACUUGCAAACUUGGGCGAUGGCGUUACCGCAUUCUUGGGCCCCUUGUUUGGGCCUUCACCUUGACUCGUUCGGUUAGACUUCAUUCUUUGGGCCAUCCGUUUUGGGAAUUCUCCAAUUGGGCUUUACUCCUUGGGCUGUUCGACCUGGGCUGAAUUUUUAUGUGUCAACACUUAUAAAACAAUUCAAAUAUAAAAUAAUAAAACUGAAAGCUCUCUUCCCUCAAACACCCCACCCCAACUCCACCCAAAAAAUCAAACCAGAAAAUCCACUCACCAUCGGCCACCCACACACCACCUCAAAAUCAUCACUUGAAACACUUCAUCUAUUCUUCUGCCGCCAAGAAAUUUCAGCCAAGUAUCCCAAUCAUCCAUCUACUAUUUACUCCCUUAUCCCCACAUUUAACCCUCAGAUUCUCCACCACCGCAGCCAAAUCAAUAAUGGAAAACCGCGACAACUGCUACUCCCACCAUCGCCGUAACUCACCCAACCCACUAUUGUCCAAUUUCGAAGGAGCAGCGGAGGAUCAGAAAAAAUUCCAGUGAGAUCCAAAAAUCAAAUCUAAAAGAAAAAUGGAAAAUAUUCAACUCCAAGAAUGCAACAACGAACAAAUAGAGAGCAACAUCAGUAAUUCUUCAUAGAUCAUCUGUAAGUUAAUCAAUUAAAACCACUUAAAAUUUAAAGCAAAAGCACGCAGCCCCGUUAAAAAAAAAAUGUUCUGCGCACAAAUCAAAUAAAAUCACCAUCCAGAAGGAAAAACUGAGCUUCAAAUUACAUUAACAAAAGCAGGACAAAACAUGACUACGGCUCUGUUAUUCAAUACAUCCACCCCCGCCUCUUUGAUUCCGGGAAGCCUCUUGACUGCCUCUUUUACCGCCUUCACUGAAAAUUUCCAAGAAGUACAAUCAUUGUUGGACAGGAAUUUGGUUAUGAUUCAGCAAGUUAACAAGAAUCACCAAUCGAACAAUCAUGGGAAUAUGGCGAAAAUGUGGGUUUAAUACCGGAAAGUCAUUUCGAUUUAUUUGAAUCUUUCAGCUAAUUUUUCUAAUGUGUUUAAUCAGAACAGCAUUGCAGCAGUGGCGGUGGUUCUAGGUGUGGCUAAGGUAGGCAGAUGAUGGUCGGCGCUGGUUGGGUGGGAUUUAGGUUUAGCGUUGGGGGUGGUUUUGGGGGGCGUGGAGUAGAUGUUUCUAUUUUGUU